rnacentral:rRNA from 1 species
UACGAAGGGGGCUAGCGUUGUUCGGAAUCACUGGGCGUAAAGGGCGCGUAGGCGGCUUUAUAAGUCGGGGGUGAAAGCCUGUGGCUCAACCACAGAAUUGCCUUCGAUACUGUAGAGCUUGAGACCGGAAGAGGUAAGUGGAACUGCGAGUGUAGAGGUGAAACUUCGUAGAUAUUCGCAAGAACACCAGUGGCGAAGGCGGCUUACUGGUCCGGUUCUGACGCUGAGGCGCGAAAGCGUGGGGAGCAAACAGG